UGAACACCAUUUUUUUUGUUUUUGUUAAGAAUGAAUGAACAUAACAUUUGAAAGUACAGAACCAGACGGAACUCACUCCUCCCUAAUCACAAUCUCACCGCCCACUCCCAAAACUCUCGGCUCCGACUGGAGUUUCCUUCUAUUCACAGUUAUCCUAAAACAUGGAAGAAGCUCCUCUUAGUAGUGAGCAAGUUCUUGAUCCAGAUUGCAACGAGGUUCAGAUGGAUGGAGAUGAUUUAACUUUAACAGCAGAAUUAGAGGGUCAAAAUGGUGUUUCUGAGGGAAGGAAAGAAUUUGUUGCACCUGCUCUUGGAAUGGAGUUUGAGUCAUAUGAAGAUGCUUAUAGUUAUUAUAAUUGUUAUGCCAAAGAAGUGGGCUUUCGGGUUAGAGUGAAGAAUUCGUGGUUUAAGCGGAAUAGUAGAGAAAAGUAUGGUGCUGUUCUUUGUUGCAGCAGCCAGGGUUUCAAGAGAAUUAAAGAUGUAAAUCGACUGAGAAAGGAAACGAGAACGGGCUGUCCGGCUAUGAUAAGGAUGCGUUUAGUGGAUACCAAAAGGUGGAGGAUACUUGAGGUUACUCUUGAACACAACCACUUAUUAGGUAGUAAGGUCUACAAGUCAAUUAAGAAGAUGGGUAAUGGAGUUAAGAGGAAUUGCCAACCGAGUAAUGAUGCAGAUGUAAGAACAAUCAAGUUGUACAAAGCACUUGUGAUAGAUUCCGGGGGUAAUGGAACUUCUAAUCCAAUAGCAAGAGACCCCACCGGCAUGUUUCCUGAUCAUCCCAAUCAGUUGAACAUUAGAAGAGGCGACACACAGGCCCUUUACAACUAUCUCUGUCGUAUGCAAUUGACUAAUCCAAACUUCUUCUACUUGAUGGAUCUCAAUGAGGAAGGGCGUUUAAGGAAUGUCUUCUGGAUUGAUGCAAGGUCUAGAGCUGCAUGUGGUUAUUUUAGUGAUGUUAUUUACUUGGACAACACAUACAUGUCUAGCAAAUUUGAGAUUCCACUCGUGGCUUUUGUUGGAAUAAAUCACCAUGGCCAGUCAGUUUUGCUAGGCUGUGGCUUGCUAGCAGGUGAGACUACAGAGUCAUAUAUUUGGUUGUUUAAGGCGUGGCUUACUUGUACAUUAGGACAUUCUCCCCAAACCAUUAUUACUGAUAGGUGUAAAAUUUUGUCAAGUGUGAUUGCCGAGGUGUUUCCAAGAUGUCAACACCGAUUUAGUUUAUCGCUGAUCAUGAAAAAGGUUCCAGAAAAAUUGGGAGGCUUGUGCAAUUAUGAUGCUAUUAGAAAGGCAUUAGUGAAAGCAGUGUAUGAAUCUAUGAAGGUAAUUGAAUUUGAAGCAGCAUGGGGAUUUAUGGUCCAGCGUUUUGGAAUUGGUGAUCACGAGUGGCUUCGCUCUUUAUAUGAAGACAGAGUUCAAUGGGCUCUGGUUUAUCUGAAGGAUACAUCGUUUGCUGGAAUGGCAGCUGCACGCCCAAAUGAGGCACUCAAUCCAUUUUUCGAUAAAUAUGUGCACAAACAGACACCCUUAAAAGAGUUUCUUGAUAAGUAUGAAUUGGCUCUGCAAAAAAGACACAAGGAAGAAGCCCUUGCAGAUAUAGAAUCAAGAAGCUCAAACCCCAUAUUGAAAACAAGAUGUUCUUUUGAGUUGCAGCUUUCAAAAGCUUACACAAGAGAAGUUUUUAAGAAGUUCCAAUACGAAGUGGAAGAGAUGUAUUCUUGUUUCAGCACGACACAGCUGCAUGUAGACGGCCCAAUUGUUAUAUUCUUAGUGAAAGAGCGUGUUAUGAGCGAGGGAAACAGAAGAGAGAUAAAGGAUUAUGAAGUUCUGUACAACAGAACAGCAGGCGAGGUUCGAUGCAUCUGCAGUUGUUUCAACUUUUAUGGUUAUCUUUGCCGGCAUUCCCUAUGUGUGCUUAAUUUUAAUGGUGUAGAGGAGAUUCCUUCUAAAUACAUCCUCUCAAGAUGGAAAAAGGAUUACAAGCGUCUCCACAUUCUAGAUCAUGGUUCGAGUAACAUCGAUGUUUCUGAUCGUGUUCAAUGGUUUAACCAGAUGUACAAGAGCGCCUUACAAAUUGUAGAAGAGGGUGCAAUCUCUCUUGACCAUUACAAGGUUGCAUUACAAUCAUUUGAAGAGUCAUUGAAAAGGGUUCAUAAUGUAGAUGUGAGACUUGAAUAAGUGGGGUAGGAAAUUCCUCUUUAUGAGGUUGCUGGAGUAAUGUCGUGCAAUGUUAUGUCCUGUGUUGGAAAUCUUAAUGGAUUGUUUCUUAGUUUUUCACUUUUUGUUGUUGUUGGCUUAUUAGUUUUUCAGUUUCUCUGUUUAUAAAUGGAAGAAGUUUCUCUCAACACUGAGCCAGUUGGCGAUGAUGAUGGCGAUGAGUUGGAGACCGAGGCAGAUUGUGCAAUGACUGAAUAUGUCAGUCAAGGUGGCAUACUCCAAGGGGGGAAUCCCUUGCCUCCUUCGGUUGGAAUGGAGUUCGAUUCUUAUGAUGAUGUAUAUUACUUUUAUAAUUGUUAUGCCAAAGAUCAAGGAUUUGGUGUUAGAGUAAGUAAUACAUGGUAUAGAAAGAGUAAAGAAAGAUACAGAGGAAAACUUAGCUGCAGCAGUGCAGGUUUCAAAAAGAAAAGUGACGCUAACCGCCCAAGACCAGAAACAAGAACUGGUUGCCCAGCAAUGAUAAAAUUCAGACUAAUGGACACUAAAAGAUGGAGAAUUAUUGAAGUGGAACUAGAGCAUAACCACCUGAUUAGCCCUGCUAGUGGGAAAUUCUACAAAUCCCACAAGAACAUAGGCGUUGGAACCAAAAGAGCGUUGCAAUUAGAUGGCCCCGAUGAAACUCAGAAAGUCAAGCUAUUCAGAACUGUGAUAGUUGAUGCUGAGGUGAAUGGGAACACAGAAGUCGAGGAAGAAGAAUCUGGUAGGAGUAUUGAUUACUCCAAUCAGUUGAAACUUGAGGCAGGAGAUUCCCAAGCAGUUCAAAAUUUCUUUUCUCGUUCACAGUUGGUAGAUCCACAUUUCUUUUAUGUUGUGGAUCUCAAUGAGAAAGGAUGCUUGAGGAACUUGUUUUGGGCUAAUGCAAGGACUAGGGUCACUUACAAUUAUUUUGGAGAUGUAGUGUGUAUUGACACUACAUGUUUGACAGACAAAUAUGAAGUACCUCUGGUUUCGUUUGUUGGAGUAAAUCACCAUGGACAAUCUGUUUUGUUAGGUUGUGGUUUACUUGCAGGUGAAACAAUUGAAUCAUACACAUGGUUGUUCAGGGCGUGGCUUACAUGUAUGUCUGGACGCCCUCCACAAGUCAUAAUUUCCGAUCAAAAUGACACAUUGCAAACUGUUGUUGCUGAUGUUUUCCCAAGAGCCACUCAAUGUCUUUGCUUAUCGAGAAUAAUGCAAAUGGUACCAGAAAAAUUGGGAAGCUUGUUUGAGUACAAUGCGAUUAAUGCAGCAUUGAAUAAAGCAGUAUACUACUCUCAGAAGCCUGAAGAAUUCGAGGCAGCGUGGGAGGACAUGGUACAGCGUCAUGGAAUUAGAGAUCAGAAAUGGCUUCAAUCAUUAUAUGAAGACAGGAAACGCUGGGUUCCUGUAUUUUUGAAAGAUGUAUUUUUGGCAGGUAUGUUUCCACUACAACCAAAUGAGGUUGUCUUAUCAUUUUUCGAAGAAUAUCUGAACAGAAAUACUCCAAUAAAAGAGUUCUUAGAUAAGUAUGAUCUAGCUCUGCAGAAACACUAUCAGCUUGAAUCAUUGGCAGAUUUGGAUUCAAAGAAUCCAAACUCAAAAACAAGAUGUUAUUUCGAGUUGCAGCUCUCAAGAUUGUACACGAACAACAUACUGCGAAGGUUCGAAAGGGAAGUGGAAGGAAUGUAUUCAUGUUUUUGCUCGAAACAGUCAAACUCUGAUGGGCCAAUCAUGACAUAUAUAGUAAAAGAGCAAACUGAAGUAAAUGGAAAUGUGAGGGAGGCUAGAGAUUACGAGGUUCUAUUCAAUCCCCCGGAGAUGGAGGUCAUAUGCGUCUGUGGCAUGUUUAACUUAAGAGGGUAUCUGUGCAGGCACGCCCUUUCAGUCCUCAGCCAAAAUGGCAUGGAGGAGAUUCCAGCGCAGUACAUACUUUCGCGGUGGAGAAAAGAUCUGAAGCGAAAGUAUGUUGUUAGUAACAUCAGUUUCAGCAGUGACAUUGGCAUUGAUGUUAAUAACCCAGUUCACAGAUAUGAUCAUCUGUACAAAUGCAUUGUUCAAGUUGUGGAUGAAGGCAGAAAAUCACAAGACCGGUACAAAGUUUCGGUUCAGGCAUUGGAAGAGAUUUUGAACAAGCUUCGUCUUGCAGAACAAGAUCAUCUGGUGUAACUUAUUUUUAUGUAUAAAAAUUGGAUCUUUUCAUCUUUUUGUAGCUUAGAAUUAGAAUACAUGAUUUUUCUUGUACCAUUUUUGUCUUUCUAUAACAAAAAUAAAUCUUGCAACUUUCAUACUCAUUCAAGAUUAUUUCCUUUU